rnacentral:misc_RNA from 1 species
GUUCGAGCGUCAUUUGACCACUCACGCCUGGCGUGGUGUUGGGGUACGCGGUUCCGCGGCCCUUAAAAGCAGUGGCGGCGCCGGUUGGCUCUAAGCGUAGUAAUACUCCUCGCUAUAGGGAUCCCACCGGUGGCUCGCCAGAACCCCCAUACUUUCUACAGGUUGACCUCGGAUCAGGUAGGGAUACCCGCUGAACUUAA